rnacentral:rRNA from 1 species
CAAUAGCGUAUAUUUAAGUUGUUGCAGUUAAAAAGCUCGUAGUUGGAUUUCGGGUGGGACGCAGCGGUCUCGCAUUGCGUUUGUACUGCUGCAGCCCUCCUUCUUGCCGGGGGCGGCCUCUCGGACUUCACUGUCUGGGGGUCAGAAUCGGCGAUGUUACUUUGAGUAAAUUAGAGUGUUCAAAGCAAGCUUACGCUCUGAAUAUAAUAGCAUGGGAUAACACGAUAGGACUCUGGCUUAUCUUGUUGGUCUGUGAGACCAGAGUAAUGAUUAAGAGGGACAGUCGGGGGCAUUCGUAUUUCAUUGUCAGAGGUGAAAUUCUUGGAUUUAUGAAAGACGAACUUCUGCGAAAGCAUUUGCCAAGGAUGUUUUCAUUAA